rnacentral:rRNA from 1 species
GAUGAACGCUGACAGCAUGCUUAACGCAUGCAAGUCCACUUGAAUUUGGGUUUUUAACUUAGGUUUGGGUGGCGGACGGGUGAGUAACGCGUAAAGAACUUGCCUCACAGCUAGGGACAACAUUUGGAAACGAAUGCUAAUACCUAAUAUUAUGAUAAUAGGGCAUCCUAUAAUUAUGAAAGCUAUAAGCGCUGUGAGAGAGCUUUGCGUCCCAUUAGCUAGUUGGAGAGGUAACGGCUCACCAAGGCGAUGAUGGGUAGCCGGCCUGAGAGGGUGAUCGGCCACAAGGGGACUGAGACACGGCCCUUACUCCUACGGGAGGCAGCAGUGGGGAAUAUUGGACAAUGGACCGAGAGUCUGAUCCAGCAAUUCUGUGUGCACGAUGAAGUUUUUCGGAAUGUAAAGUGCUUUCAGUUGGGAAGAAACAAAUGACGGUACCAACAGAAGAAGUGACGGCUAAAUACGUG